rnacentral:rRNA from 1 species
UGGGGAAUAUUGGACAAUGGGCGAAAGCCUGAUCCAGCCAUGCCGCGUGUGUGAAGAAGGUCUUCGGAUUGUAAAGCACUUUAAGUUGGGAGGAAGGGCAGUAAGCGAAUACCUUGCUGUUUUGACGUUACCGACAGAAUAAGCACCGGCUAACUCUGUGCCAGCAGCCGCGGUAAUACAGAGGGUGCAAGCGUUAAUCGGAAUUACUGGGCGUAAAGCGCGCGUAGGUGGUUCGUUAAGUUGAAUGUGAAAGCCCCGGGCUCAACCUGGGAACUGCAUGCAGAACUGGCGAGCUAGAGUAGGGCAGAGGGUGGUGGAAUUUCCUGUGUAGCAGUGAAAUGCGUAGAUAUAGGAAGGAACACCAGUGGCGAAGGCGACCACCUGGGCUCAUACUGACACUGAGGUGCGAAAGCGUGGGGAGCAAGCAGG